rnacentral:tRNA from 1 species
GGUCCCGUAGCUCAGUUGGAUAGAGCAUCUGAUUUCUAAUCAGACGGUCUUUGGUUCGAAUCCAAACGGGAUCACCG